GCCUUCUUAGCUCAGCGGUAGUAGCGUCUGCCUCGUAAGCAGAAGGUCGGGUGUUCAAUCCACCCAGAAGGCA